CUGAUACAAACUUUCUAGUUUCUUUUUGAACUCAGUGAAGUUGUGAAAUUAUUAUUGUUCGUUGUUCUGACCUUAUUUCACCCAUAUUUUAAUAAUGGCAUCAGUUCCUAAAAAAGAGCAGAUGACAAAAUCCGCCCAGAAUUAUUAUCUUGUUCCGAAAAAUGUUGUAAAAGCGACCGUUUUUUAUGUAACGACUGAAGAUACCUUAGAGAAUCAAAAAUGCCUUGAUGCGAGGUGAAAUAAUGUUUUAAAAGUGCAAAUGACGCUCAAAGAAUGCAAGACUGUCUUAGGCUUCAGCGCAUUCCAUCAUUUCAAAAAAUUUGACAAUGAUCAUAUUGUUGUUGGGCAAACUUCGAAGUCUACGCUGCAUGAACUCACUAUUAUCCCUUGCGGACCCGAAGUAUAUUUGAAGCACCUUACAACACAUAUACGUUUAAAAUACAGCGAUGUAUACUCCGAAAGUGAUUUUGAAGAUUAAAUAAAAAAGUAGUGUGAUAUUAGUAUUAAUUUUAUAAAUAUAGAUGUGGACAA